UAUUCUCUUGUGCUGAGCCGAUUUCUAUGAUGAUCUGAUUUCGUUUCUUUUUGGCAAAAUUGUGAAUGACCAUGACAUUAGAACGAAACAACAAUUAUAUGCGUGUGUACGUGUGUGCGCAG
rnacentral:sRNA from 1 species